ACUGCUGCAUUGUGUUUUCUCCCUCUCUUUUUUUCCUUUUGCAAGAGAAAAAGUAAGUUAGUCGUUAACUACACAAAGGAGUUAACAUUUAACUUGAACACUGUGAGUGCUUUAGCUCUCGACCCCCACCCCCUUUCUUAUUAGAGUGAAAAUAGGUUCAGGAAGUCUCUUACUAAUCGUCACAGAUACUGGAUGAGAUCUGACUACAUCAUUUUGCUGGCUGCACUCACAGGAGGCCCGGGGGUCGUUCAUCCACAGGCCCCUCCAGGCUGCUCAGAAUCCCUGCCCGCCCCCUCCCACCCCACACUCCCAUCGGUGACGGCGCUCUAUCUCCCCUGUAAAUCCUCAGGAAUUUUCGGGAGAUGACGUCAACUUCGUGUGCUUACUCGUUCAUCCGGCGGGUAAACCGUACUAGGUAAGAGCAGGUAACACGCAGAUCACAAGAAUUACAGCGCACACGGAGGUCUGAUAACACGAGGAGCCCUCGGACGUGCAAGGAUCCGUAUCUGACCAUCAUCUUCACAGCAAAUACGGCCAGUGGCGCUUGUAGAAGUGAGAUAACCUGGGAACCGGCCAAGGGCAUGAGGGAAUGAGAGCCAGAGGACAACCAAUGACAGCGAUGGCCCUCCCUAAGCACUUGGGGCUUCUGAGACCAGCAUUCCUUCUUUCCUUUAAAAAGCCAAGAGUCCAAACAGGAAGCCUCCUCAGAAGUUAAUUCAAGGCCUUUCUAGAUGGUCUCCCUAUGUCCAAACUCCUCUCGUGCUCACUGGACCUUGGGAUUCCUCCAUCAGAACCCCAUACUCUUAGCUACAAGCCUCCUAAGAAAAGUCACAUCAAAAUCUGUCAAUGGUGUCCCUCUUUCCAACAUGGAGGAUGUGGAUUUGAAAGCAGAGGGGUGGAGAGGGAGGAAGUUUUAGGGCACCGGGCACUGGGUGGACAGAAGUGGUGUGGGAAGGGAGGGGACUCCUCCGACACUCUGGAACUCAGUGGGUGGGGCACCUCCUCCUGGUCACCAAGAACACGGUAACAAGUUGGACCUCCAGCUACUGAAGACAAAUGACUGUAAUUUUCAUACAUCCUCUGAGAUACACACAUAAACAUGUGCCAGGUUCUUACCCAUGGCGGUCCACAGCCCCUGCACACACAGGAACUGCCAUCUGUCGUUGCCCUGCAAGUGCCCAGCAUGACCCACUCAGCUAGGACUAUCCUUCUGAGGCUUAGGGCUAUAUCCACCCAGGUCUCUGCCACACAUUUUCAAAGCCCAAGUGCCUUCCCCCCCAAAGAACUCCCGUAACGAAGGGAGGAGACCCAGAAGAACAAAACACCGCAACAAACGAGAGACUGAAGGUUUCUUUCACAUCAACAUCAGGCAUUGGGUUACGCACAUUACCUGCCUUUUCUUGUUUUAAUAACACCAUAAAGGAGGUACCAUCAUUCUCAUUUGGCAGAUGAAAAAAAAAAAAAAAACUGAGGCUCAGAGAGUUUCCAAAUUUGGUCACAGUUGCAUAGGUAGGAAAUGAUGUAGCCAGGACUGAAACCCUUUUUGCGAGCUAGAAGCAAGUGGCUCUAUGUUGAUGAAUCCUCUUUGAGCCCCAACACUGCCACUGCACUUUCCCUAACAUAAAACCAGAGUUCCUUGAUGCUAACUUGAAAGACUCAGGGCACAAUUGUUGCCAGCAGACAACCCUAAGUCUGCUGAACAACAAAGGACAAAGGACGUGAACACAGAACUAGAACAGCGCAGUGGAGGGCAGACUCUGGCCCUUUCUUCAUGCCUGGGUUGUAUCAGAAAACACCCCCGAACCUGGAUUUGGGUGGCACCCUCAGUGGGCUUGUUAAAAAGAGAAAAAAAACAAACUCAUUCUCCUUCUUUAAAAAGUACCAUGCAAUGUAGAACA